rnacentral:rRNA from 1 species
UAAUAACACUACACAAUGGAUUUCUCGGCUCCCAUAACGAUGAAGAACGCAGCAAAGCGCGAUAGGUAGUGUGAAUUGCAGAAUUCCGCGAAUCAUCGAAUCUUUGAACGCAUAUUGCGCCUGAGCCUCCUGGCUUGGGCAUGUCUGCCUCAGCGUCGGUUC